AAAAUGGCGACGAAGGUAGCGGCUUAGUAAAGGCGUCUGCCUUUAGAUUAAGUUUUAAGUAGUUUUAAGUAGUUAUUUUAACCCCCCUCUGGGUUUUUAUUGUUUUAUUGUUUUUAGACUAAGUUUCAAGUAGUUCUAAGUAGUUUCUUUUAACCCCUCUGGGCUUUUAUUGCUUUAUUGUUUUAUUACCUGCUUCGUGCUUCAGCCUUGCUGCCUUGCCGCACCCCCCGCUGUGCAUUUGGUGCUGAGGAGCUGAGUAAUCUUCUGAGACGAGUGAGUGGGGAAGGGAAGAGGUCUGGUUGACUCCCCUGCCGUGAAGGGAUUCCCCGUCACUGGAAAGGAGAGGGCUCCACCAGGGAAACAUACUGAGAGCCAGCGCUCGCUGAUGAGCUAAGCAGGAGAAAGCUGCAGAUUCAUCCCUACUCAUCCAUUGGCCCUGCUAAUUAGGCAGAAACACUGGGGGACAACUGGUUUUCUAAUAGGAAGACAACUAUCCAACAUGGUCCUCACUAGAAAGUUGUGUAAGGAGUUGGGUAUCUUGCCAGAUACGCCACUUAGCCCCCCGGGACCUGGAAAGAGACAAAGUAAAAUUAUAAAUUACUUCUCCAAGAGGGAGGAAUGCAUGAGUGAACAAAUUGAACCAAUUAUUGACGAAGUCACUCCUCUCCCCUUACUUACCUUGACCGGUCACAUUACUUCAAAGAGCUUCAACACAACUCUGGAAACACAAAUUCCCCAAGAAGCCUGGCGCAAGAGCUAGUUCUAGCUGAGAAACCUGUGGAAAAUAUUUCUGUCACCUAUAACCAGCGGCCCCUGGCAGAAUUAACAACAUGCCACCAAGACCAGGCGCCCACUUCCAAAUAUACUCAAACUGAACUGAGUGAUGGCCAUCUUCAGGCCCAUUUCCAAGAUAUAAAUAUAGACCUUUCCAACAUAAAAAAUUACUUGACAAUAACAAAUGGGUUAUUGCUGACCCUUGUGGAAAAUUUUAUUCCCCAACCAAAAGAGACAACAGCAACCGAUGCACCCCAAGUGCAUAAACCAGAUGAACUUGUGCAUAACCCAGAUGAACUAGUGAAGAUGAGACAAGCAGUAACAACCAAGAAAUUGCAAAAAAAUAGAUCAAAAGUCCGGGAAAAGAAAACUAAGAACAUU